rfam:Danio rerio chromosome 4, GRCz11 reference primary assembly.
GUCUCUGUGGCGCAAUCGGUUAGCGCGUUCGGCUGUUAAUUGAAAGGUUGGUGGUUCAGGCCCACCCAGGGACG